UUCAUAUCAAUAAGCGGAGGAAAAGAAACCAACAGGGAUUGCCUUAGUAACGGCGAGUGAAGCGGCAAAAGCUCAAAUUUGAAAGCUAGCACCUUCGGUGUUCGCGUUGUAAUUUGAAGAUAGUUUCCUUGAGUAGUCCUUUAUCUAUGUUCCUUGGAACAGGACGUCAUAGAGGGUGAGAACCCCGUAUGAUUUUGGAUACUACUCUUUGUGGGAUUCUAUCGAAGAGUCGAGUUGUUUGGGAAUGCAGCUCUAAGUGGGUGGUAAAUUCCAUCUAAAGCUAAAUAUUGGCGAGAGACCGAUAGCGAACAAGUACAGUGAUGGAAAGAUGAAAAGAACUCUGAAGAGAGAGUGAAAAAGUACGUGAAAUUGCUGAAAGGGAAGGGCUUGAGGUCAGACUUGGUGUUUAAUGAUUAUCAGUUCUUCUUGGACUGUGCGCUCGUUUUUCACCGGGCCAAUAUCAGUUUUAGCGGUAGAGUACCCCUUGAAAUGUGGCUUCCUUCGGGGAGUGUUAUAGUCUUGGGGAGAUCUACUUGCUGGGACUGAGGACUGCGCUUCGGCAAGGAUAUUGGCGUAAUGACCUUAAGCCGC
rnacentral:rRNA from 1 species